rnacentral:rRNA from 1 species
UACAGAGGUCUCAAGCGUUGUUCGGAUUCAUUGGGCGUAAAGGGUACGUAGGUGGCGCCGUAAGUCAGGUGUGAAAUCCCGGGGCUCAACCCCGGAACUGCACUUGAUACUGCGGUGCUCGAGUACGGAAGAGGCGAGUGGAAUUCCUGGUGUAGCGGUGAAAUGCGCAGAUAUCAGGAGGAACACCAAUAGGCGAAGGCAGCUCGCUGGGACGGUACUGACACUAAGGCGCGAAAGCGUGGGGAGCGAACGAGG